GCUGGGUAUGGUGGUGCGUGCCUGUAGUUCCAGCUACUUGGAGGCUGAUACAGGAGGAUUGCUUGGGCUGAGGAAUUUGAGGAGGUAGUGAGCUAUGAUUGUGCCAGUGCACUCCAGCCUCAGCAACAAAGCAAGACUCUGUCUCUA
ensembl:misc_RNA Metazoa_SRP Metazoan signal recognition particle RNA